GGCUCUGUAGUUCAAUGGAUAGAACGCAAGUUUCCGGAACUUGUAAUGCAGGUCCGAUUCCUGCCAGAGUCA
rfam:Parcubacteria (Nomurabacteria) bacterium GW2011_GWB1_43_7 TW02_C0029, whole genome shotgun sequence.